rnacentral:rRNA from 1 species
GGAUUAGAUACCCUGGUAGUCCACGCCGUAAACGAUGACAACUAGCCGUCGGGGUCCUUGAGGCCUUGGUGGCGCAGCUAACGCGAUAAGUUGUCCGCCUGGGGAGUACGGCCGCAAGGUUAAAACUCAAAUGAAUUGACGGGGGCCCGCACAAGCGGUGGAGCAUGUUGUUUAAUUCGAUGCAACGCGAAGAACCUUACCACCCCUUGACAUCCUGCGAACUUUCUAGAGAUAGAUUGGUGCCUUCGGGAACGCAGUGACAGGUGCUGCAUGGCUGUCGUCAGCUCGUGCCG